rnacentral:ribozyme from 1 species
AGGGUUUUUCGUUCUGCAAAAGGGUUGGAUCCGACGCCUUUUGGAGGCUACUAUAGGCUCUCCUUCCCAACUCCUACUCAAUACGUCCACGUCGUGCAGAACGUUCACUUGUCGCAUAGAUCCAAGCUUGGGUACACGGGGAAACCCAACCCCUUGGGCGGAUG